UAAUUCAACUGGCAGCUUGGUCGCCUCCUCCCAGCUCCAUUCGCCCACCAUUAAAAAAAAAAAAGCUCCACUCGCCUGCGCCGGCAUCGCAGCCCCCUCUCCGCCGGCGACUUCGCCCAGCGAUUGCGCCGGCUACCCUUGACUCCCGUGAAACCCAGAUCCGCUCAAAGGCACUUACUUUCCUCCACCGCAUCGACCCGCCGGAAGAAAGGAGUGCGGCCGGCGACCUGAGCCUCCUCGCCCCGGCAGCGGCGAGCCUUCUUCCCCCCUCCCCCGAUUCGAAUGAGCUGAGGGGACUCCAAUAGUCCGAUAGAUGAUGGAUGCUUCCGAGGAGAUUUCCCCACGGCUCCGUCCAGAGAAGAAACCGUGUGCCGAUGGCGAAUCGCAGCAGCAUUCGCCGGCAUCCAUGGUGCCGGUAUCCAAGGUGCUCGACGACGACAACCUCCUCAUUGAGAUCCUCCUGCGCGUCAGCUUCCCCACCACACUUGUAUGCGCCGCCCUCGUCUGCAAGCGCUGGCUCUGCCAUGCCUCUGACCCCAAGUUCCUCAGCCUUUUCCGCAAGCGCCACCCGCCUCGCCUCCUUGGCUUCUACAUAUAUAUAGGGUCGUCCUGGUUAUGGUUGGGCGCCCCCCUGCUCUUCGUCCCGAUGCAGCCCCAGCCCCCAGAGCUCGCCCCCUUCAUCUGCCGGGUCGCGAGCCAUAGCUUCGGCGCCGACAAUGACGGAUUAUGCAUCAUGGAUUGCCGGAAUGGCAGCGUCUUAAUCAGAUGCCGCAGAGGAACUAUAUUGACACAUGGAGUGCACCGCCCACUAUGCCCCCAGAGAGACAUUGAUGUCAUCCCACCACUCCCAAGAGCCCAGUACCACGGUCAAAAAAAUUUCAAUACAAUCCUCUCCAAAGAAGAAGGCGGUGUCUUGUCCUACCUGUAUAUGUUGGCCGAAUUUUUCAGCAAGCCAAAAAUUUUCAGGGUGCGCGUGUAUAUGUUGCAAGGGGGUGUCUGGUGCAUGCAUGCCUCGGCCACGACACAGCUCCCUCGUCUGCUGACGUCACUGGAAGUCGUGCUCGUUGACGAGAAAAUCUAUAUGGCUGACACCUUCAGUGAUGAAAUUAUUGUCUUGGAUAUGACAACCUCGAGUUUCUCCACAAUUCCGCUCCCACAAGGAGUGAAUUUUCACUGUGUUCGCACCAUCAUGUCACGCGCCGGUGAUGCUUCUGGUGUAUAUCUCACCCAUAUCCAUGUCAAGGAGCUACAACUUUGCAUCUGGCUCCACAAAGGGGACAACUGGUUGUUGGUUCAUACAAUUUGUUUGCAUCAGAUGUGGGAUAAUUUGAGGAUGCUAGAUCAGACCCUUGAGGAUGAGCAUAUUAGUUUUACUUGUAUAAGCAAUGUGGGGGAUAAUGCUGAAUUUGUGUUCUUGGAAAUGUGUGGCUGCAUUUUCUAUCUGGAUGUCACAAGCAAGACACUGCGUAAAGUGCAUGGGGUGACAGUAAAGGAUCGACCGUUCAAUGAUGUCUAUCCUUUUAUGAUGAUUUGGCCACCCAAAUUCCCCGCGCCCAAGGAUGAUCCUGCAAGAAAUGCCAUGUGAAGGAGGAUGAUAUCAGGAAGUUUUUGGAUGGUGAGCGACAAGGGUGAGCAGAGAACUGCAUUUCCUUGGCUGCAGUUUCACUGUAACUCAUAGUGUAUUAGUUGAGAUGAUGUAUAACUGGAGCAGUUCUACAUUGGCGCCGGCAAUUGGCUGAUAUUAUUAAUUGAGCAAAUUUGAGUGGGACUACACUCUGGAUAAGGUCAAUUAAGGAUGAUCUACUCUUUGUAAAUGACUUUGAGCUUGCCUCUGGCUCUGCCUCUCCGAUUAAGCAGCUUGGAACAGAAAUGCCAUGUAAAGAACAAGGACAUGAGGAAGUUCAUGAUGAGCCCAUAUUUCCUCUGUAGCUCGUAGCGGAAACUGUAUUGUAUUAGAGUUGAGAACCAACAUUAUCUGCGGAUAAUGUGCUUCCUAGGAUUGUAUCCUACCAGCUUUUGUAUAUCAUUUUUAUCCGUCUAAUUGUUCAAAGAAAAUAGUCUUUAGAUCCAACUAGUUAAUGUAAAUGAUAAUUGGUGAUUUGGUCAACUUCAUCUAGUGCGGCAUUUUGACUGCCGGUACUUACUUU